UGUAAAGCAAAUGGAAACAGUUUUAACACUUCUUCUUGUUCUUUGGGCAUAACUACUUUUUGAAAGUUUUGGUCGCCAAAACUACAUAACGCCAACUAUCCCUGACAUGAACUAGGACCCUUCAGUUCACCACACCCAAACGUUUCAAAUUAUCCCUUACACCAUCCAAAUAUCUUUUCCUGGGUCUGCUAAGAGGGGUUUUUUCCUUGAGAUACCCAUUCGAGAGCUGCACUUUCCUUCCGACGCAUAAUGUGUCCAUGCUAGUGAAUCUACUGGCCUCUAAUAAAAUUCGGUUCAGUUCAUUCUUUCAAUUGUACUCAUUGAGGUCCAGGCCUCACACCCAUACGUUAGUGUUGGUCAGAUAAUAGCCACAUAAAGCCUACUAUUUGUUCCUUUUGAAAAUAUCUUAGAGUUAAAGAAUUUCCUUAGAAUGUAAAAAGUUUUCCCAGCUUUAUUCCGACAGAUGUUUAU